UAGUAUAUGAGCAUGCGGUAGUCCACGC
rnacentral:sRNA from 1 species